CACGUAGGAGGCGAGCGUUGUCCGGAAUCAUUGGGCGUAAAGAGCGCGCAGGCGGCUUGGCAAGUCGGGUGUGAAAUCCCGGGGCUCAACCCCGUGACUGCAUCCGAUACUGUCAGGCUAGAGGUAGGUAGGGGAGAUCGGAAUUCCUGGUGUAGCGGUGAAAUGCGCAGAUAUCAGGAAGAACACCGGUGGCGAAGGCGGAUCUCUGGGCCUUACCUGACGCUCAGGCGCGAAAGCUAGGGGAGCGAACAGG
rnacentral:rRNA from 1 species